rnacentral:piRNA from 1 species
UUUAGUAAAAUAAAUGUGACGGAUGUUG